rnacentral:rRNA from 1 species
UACAGAGGUCCCAAGCGUUGUUCGGAUUCACUGGGCGUAAAGGGUGCGUAGGUGGCCAGGUAAGUUUGGUGUGAAAGCUCGGAGCUUAACUCCGAAAAGUCAUUGAAUACUAUCUGGCUGGAGGGUCGGAGGGGAGACUGGAAUUCUCGGUGUAGCAGUGAAAUGCGCAGAUAUCAGGAGGAACACCGGUGGCGAAGGCGGGUCUCUGGGCCGAUACUGACGCUGAGGAGCGAAAGCGUGGGGAGCGAACAGG